rnacentral:tRNA from 3 species
GGAGAGGUGCCCGGAGUGGUUUAUCGGGGACCGGUUCGCUGGUCGGGUGGUUCGCCGCCCGCGCAGGUUCGAAUCCUGCCCUCUCCG